CCUACGGGAGGCAGCAGUGAGGAAUAUUGGUCAAUGGACGCAAGUCUGAACCAGCCAUGCCGCGUGCAGGAAGACGGCUCUAUGAGUUGUAAACUGCUUUUGUACGAGGGUAAACGCAGAUACGCGUAUCUGUCUGAAAGUAUCGUACGAAUAAGGAUCGGCUAACUCCGUGCCAGCAGCCGCGGUAAUACGGAGGAUUCAAGCGUUAUCCGGAUUUAUUGGGUUUAAAGGGUGCGUAGGCGGUCGGAUAAGUUAGAGGUGAAAUCCCUGGGCUCAACUUCGGAAUUGCCUCUGAUACUGUUCGGCGAGAGAGUAGUUGCGGUAGGCGGAAUGUAUGGUGUAGCGGUGAAAUGCUUAGAGAUCAUACAGAACACCGAUUGCGAAGGCAGCUUACCAAGCUACUUCUGACGUUGAGGCACGAAAGCGUGGGGAGCAAACAGGAUUAGAUACCCCAGUAGUC
rnacentral:rRNA from 1 species